rnacentral:rRNA from 1 species
UACGGGGGCAAGCGUUGUUCGGAAUUACUGGGCGUAAAGGGCUCGUAGGCGGCCAACUAAGUCAGACGUGAAAUCCCUCGGCUUAACCGGGGGAACUGCGUCUGAUACUGGAUGGCUUGAGGUUGGGGAGAGGGAUGCGGAAUUCCAGGUGUAGCGGUGAAAUGCGUAGAUAUCUGGAGGAACACCGGUGGCGAAGGCGGCUCACUGGACCGGUAUUGACGCUGAGGUGCGAAAAGCGUGGGGGAGCAAACAGG